AACGUAGGACACAAGCGUUAUCCGGAGUUACUGGGCGUAAAGGGCGUGUAGGCGGUUCGGUAAGUCUACUCUGAAAGCUCCUGGCUAAACUGGGAGAGGCGAGUGGAGACUGUCGGUCUAGAGUGGGGAAGAGGAAAGUGGAAUUCCGCGUGUAGUGGUGAAAUGCGUAGAGAUGCGGAGGAACACCAGUGGCGAAAGCGGCUUUCUGGUCCUUAACUGACGCUGAGGCGCGAAAGCAUGGGGAGCGAACGGG
rnacentral:rRNA from 1 species